UGCUCUUUCCCCUUGUCUAGUGAAACCAAAAUGUUUUGAAUGCAGGAUCGGAUGGCUUUCCUUCAAGACAUACUGCUACCUUCUUUAUGGAGGACAAGAGUUGAAGUCUUGGGACGAAGGUCGACAGUACUGUCGGGAAAAUGGUGGAGACUUGGUUGUAAUUGAUAAUCUGGAGGAGCAGGAAUUUAUCACCUUGUACGCCAGUUUAUCAUUAUUGACGCCAGCAAAUUCCUGGAUAGGGUUACAUCUUACGCCAAAAGGAUGGUUCUGGGUUGAUGGACGUAGGAACACUUUUGAUUUCUGGAUAAAAGGGAUUCCCCAUACUUCCGGAGCAGCGCUGCAUAUACCACGAAAAAAAGCCACAGAGAGCUGGAGGGCAGAAGACAAUGCUGUGAAGAACCGAUACAUCUGUGAGCAUCCAAUGACUGUUUGGCCCUAUAACUAACACUGUUCUCUUAAAGCUUCAAUGAGGAAUACUGAACUGUGUCGUCAUUUUUUGACAAAUGUCAUGAAUGGAAGCUCAAUCUCUGAA